rfam:Schistosoma mansoni strain Puerto Rico chromosome 2, complete genome
AUCCAGCUGAGGGGUCUCAAAUAGGACGAAACGCGCGUCAAGCUGGAU